AGUGAACGCUGGCGGUAGGCCUAACACAUGCAAGUCGAACGGCAGCACAGGAGAGCUUGCUCUCUGGGUGGCGAGUGGCGGACGGGUGAGGAAUACAUCGGAAUCUGCCCAGUCGUGGGGGAUAACAUAGGGAAACUUACGCUAAUACCGCAUACGACCUUCGGGUGAAAGAGGGGGAUCGCAAGACCUCUCGCGAUUGGAUGAGCCGAUGUCGGAUUAGCUAGUUGGCGGGGUAAUGGCCCACCAAGGCGACGAUCCGUAGCUGGUCUGAGAGGAUGAUCGGCCACACUGGAACUGAGACACGGUCCAGACUCCUACGGGGGGCAGCAGUGGGGAAUAUUGGACAAUGGGCGCAAGCCUGAUCCAGCCAUACCGCGUGGGUGAAGAAGGCCUUCGGGUUGUAAAGCCCUUUUGUUGGGAAAGAAAUCUUUCAGGCUAAUACCCUGGGAGGAUGACGGUACCCAAAGAAUAAGCACCGGCUAACUUCGUG
rnacentral:rRNA from 1 species